AACAUCUGGACAUCAGACAACUCUGUCACACAUGUGCAGGUGAAGGGCUACCUUUAUUUCUCAUAGUGCUGAUCUCUGCGGCUGCGUCUAGUUUUCUGUUGAUUGUAGCUGCAGUCAUUAGGAUCUUCUGGACUUGCAAGAAAUGUCGAAAAAAUGUCCAGAUACAGAAGGAAGACAGAAGUGAUUCAGCAUUGUGCAAACCAAAAACACGACAAAAG